ensembl:snRNA U6 U6 spliceosomal RNA
UUGCUCUUAUAGUAAGUACAUUGCAGUUGGGACAAUAUGGAAAAUAUGAGCAUAGCUACUACACGAGUAUGACAGGCAAAUUUAUGAAGCACUCCUUAUAUUU